AUCCUACGGGGGGCUGCAGUGGGGAAUCUUAGACAAUGGGGGAAACCCUGAUCUAGCCAUGCCGCGUGAGCGAUGAAGGCCUUAGGGUUGUAAAGCUCUUUCAGUGGGGAAGAUAAUGACGGUACCCACAGAAGAAGCCCCGGCUAACUCCGUGCCAGCAGCCGCGGUAAUACGGAGGGGGCUAGCGUUGUUCGGAAUUACUGGGCGUAAAGCGCACGUAGGCGGACGGACAAGUCAGAGGUGAAAUCCCGGGGCUCAACCCUGGAACUGCCUUUGAAACUGUCUGUCUUGAGGUCGGGAGAGGUGAGUGGAAUUCCGAGUGUAGAGGUGAAAUUCGUAGAUAUUCGGAGGAACACCGGUGGCGAAGGCGGCUCACUGGCCCGAUACUGACGCUGAGGUGCGAAAGCGUGGGGAGCAAACAGGAUUAGAUACCCGUGUAGUCUGG
rnacentral:rRNA from 1 species